CCACGCCGUAAACGAUGAGUGCUAAGUGUUAGGGGGUUUCCGCCCCUUAGUGCUGCAGCUAACGCAUUAAGCACUCCGCCUGGGGAGUACGGUCGCAAGACUGAAACUCAAAGGAAUUGACGGGGACCCGCACAAGCAGCGGAGCAUGUGGUUUAAUUCGAAGCAACGCGAAGAACCUUACCAGGACUUGACAUAUAUGAGAAAAGCUUAGAGAUAAGUAAUACUCUUCGGAGACUGAUAUACAGGUGGUGCAUGGUUGU
rnacentral:rRNA from 1 species